AAAGAAGUUCUUCUCAUCCCCUUUGUCUAAUUUUUUUUCUUCUUAUCCCGUCCCACCGCUCCCCCAUUCCAUGGUGGCCGCCCCUCACUUCCAUUCCUUGUGGAUGUAGUACCUCAUCAGGCCGCCCUUUCCUUUCGUCCCCGCCGCCGGCGCGAGGCCUCAACUGCUCUCCCCACUGCCUCCUCUCCCCGGCACGCAGUCGCACGCCGCAUCCUCUCCCGCCACAUCGUCGCCCAGCCCAUCCUCUCCCCCUCCCCACGGCCUUGCGCCGCCGCCUCCUCUCCCCACCAUAACCUCGCCUUGCCGCUAACACCGUCGGUCUUCCCUAGAUCGACUCUGCCGUCGCCGUACACAUGUCCCAGUGCAGAUCCAGAUGCGAGCUAGAGGAGCGUGCUGGACACGAUGCGGGAGCAGGCAUCUCGGAGCGGCCCGAGGUUCUGUGCGUCUCGUGCCCCUGUGAUAGUCGGCCUCGUGCUUGGCUCCCACAUUCAAUCCGGGAAGGCGCUCGCAGCUCGCUUACGUGCUCGACUACUCCAGUUACUUGAUGGAUUCAGGCUACUAUAAGAAAUGGCAACUUGGGGCAUGACUUGCAAGAAAGGGAUUCUAUGACAGAAUGACAUUGCUUCAUGGUUUCGGGUAUGUAGAGAAUGUGAUGUUUAGAAAAAUCUGGGCAACAGCAGCAUUUCCAAGGUGACAAAUAUGUUCUUAUUUUGGCUUGUAACAAGGAGUGUCGUGAAAGAUCAGGCCGCAACAACAGAUCGGAUCUCACCACGAGGUUCGGUCUUCAUCAGGUGGUAUUCAGAGCAAGGUUGUUCACGACACUAUGGAGAAGAUGAUGAGCGCAUUAUCAUUCAGUAAGUUAAGCUAUGGAUUUCAGUUGGAGGAGGAAGGCCGUUGGGCCGGGCUAUUUCACACCCGUGUGGUGGUGAGAGAGAGAUCAUGUGCUAUGAUGGUCGAUCACAUGAAUUUGAUCAACGCCGCAAGCAUCGAGAUGGUGGAGAAACUGAAUCUACCAAUGACACCAUGUCCACAACCAUACUGUUUCCGUUGGGGUCAUGAAGAGCUCACUGUCACGCAACAAACAAAGGUACCGUUUUUGUUGGAAAAUUAUUUUUGCGAGGUUUUGUGCGACGUGAUUCUGGCACCGAUGAUUUCAUGUCACUUGUUAGUGGGAGAGCCGUGGUACAGAGAGCAUGAUGUCGCGUACGAUUGCAAAACACACAGAUAUACCGUCAAGAGGGGUAAGAAGUGCAGCCUCGUGCCAAUGGGUGAGGAGCGUUUUAUUUCUUGGAGGAAAGAACAUCUUGAGAGGAUAAAAGAGCAGGAAGAAGAAGAAAAGAAGAAGGCCCAAGUUGCUGAAAUUUCUGUGGUUGUUAUUCAAUCGAGUGAAGAAAAUAUUGCUCAAGAGGUCAACCCAAAUCCGAGGACGGUUUUGAUGCAAGGAAGAGAGGAUGAUACGACCACACAUAAUGUUGUACCGCAUCAAAUCACAGAUAUACAUGAGCCUAAAAUAUUUCAAUUUAGUGAAGGUAACAAGGAGUGUCGUGAAAGAUCAGGCCGCAACAACAGAUCGGAUCUCACCACGAGGAGACAUUGAAGAGGGGAUGUCUGGCCAUGAAGCCACCUUAUUGUGAUCGCCAUUGUAUAAUGUCUUUGUUGGGGUAUCUGCUUCUUUCAUGCUUGGAAACAUUGAUGAGGGGAUGUCUGUCCACAAAAUAUGUAAAUACCUCAGGAGGAGCACGGGCAGACGAGUUCCAGCGAAGACAGCAGAGGCGAGAGUGGAAGCUUGCGGCACGGCAAUGUCGAGCCUAAGUCAAGCCAGACUGAAAGUAGAUGAGGUACCAAUGUUCAUAGACAUGUUGAAGGAUGUCGUAUAUGGUAACAGUUAACAAAAAUACCUGAUGUAAAGCUGACUUGUCAAAGAGCUUAAUUGAAACGAAGGUGACAACCUGUGAAACUGGCAGGUUAAUUGUAAAGCUGAGCUUAAUUGAACCGAAGGUGACGACGCGUGAAACUGACCAGUUAAUUGAACCAAAAACUGGGAUUGUGUCACAUGAAAAAUCACUGGAGAUAGGAUGUAUUUGUAGCACCAACGAUGCCCGCCUCUAAGUAGGUUUCGGACUCCUGUAGGAAUCUAAAUAGGAGUAGGAAUAGGAAUAGGAAUAGGACCAGGAUUUGGACUCAUGUAAGGAAGCCAGCCAGCGGCGCUGCCUCCGUACGCAGUGGGUCCUUCCUUCAUCGAUACGGGCCGGCAGCUUCGUUUGUUUGGCAAUUUAAAAAUAGAGAUAUGGGCCGGCCGGCCGGCUCUUGUUA